AGUUUCACUACUCCAUCUCUCGAGGUAUCUCUAUUCAUCUUUUUCUAAAAACAUGGGAUGUUUAUGCCACAUGAUAACACUAUGAGGGGGCUAACUAUAACAAAUUUAAACUAUAGGAGGCAUUAGUGUUACAAUUCUAAAGAUUAGGAGAUAUCCGUACAAUGUCAUAAUUUUUAGCAAAACAUGACUGUAUGCUGUUCUU
rnacentral:lncRNA from 1 species